rnacentral:rRNA from 1 species
AUUGAACGCUGGCGGCAGGCUUAACACACGCAAGUCGAGCGGAGAGAGGUAGCUUGCUACUGAUCUUAGCGGCGGACGGGUGAGUAAUGCUUAGGAAUCUGCCUAUUAGUGGGGGACAACAUUUCGAAAGGAAUGCUAAUACCGCAUACGUCCUACGGGAGAAAGCAGGGGAUCUUCGGACCUCGCGCUAAUAGAUGAGCCUAAGUCGGAUUAGCUAGUUGGUGGGGUAAAGGCCUACCAAGGCGACGAUCUGUAGAGGGUCUGAGAGGAUGAUCCGCCACACUGGGACUGAGACACGGCCCAGACUCCUACGGGAGGCAGCAGUGGGGAAUAUUGGACAAUGGGCGCAAGCCUGAUCCAGCCAUGCCGCGUGUGUGAAGAAGGCCUUAUGGUUGUAAAGCACUUUAAGCGAGGAGGAGGCUACUUUAGAUAAUACCUAGAGAUAGUGGACGUUACUCGCAGAAUAAGCACCGGCUAACUCUGUGCCAGCCGCCGCAGUAAAAC